UACAGAGGGUGCGAGCGUUAAUCGGAUUUACUGGGCGUAAAGCGCGUGUAGGCGGCAAGGCAAGUCGGAUGUGAAAGCCCAUGGCUCAACCGUGGAAGUGCACACGAAACUGCCUCGCUAGAGUCUCGGAGAGGAAGGUGGAAUGCUUGGUGUAGAGGUGAAAUUCGUAGAUAUCAAGCGGAACACCGGUGGCGAAGGCGGCCUUCUGGACGAUGACUGACGCUGAGACGCGAAAGCGUGGGGAGCAAACAGG
rnacentral:misc_RNA from 1 species